rnacentral:rRNA from 1 species
CCCCGUACACAAAAAUGCACAUGCUGUGAGCUCGAUGAGUAGGGCGGGACACGUGGUAUCCUGUCUGAAUAUGGGGGGACCAUCCUCCAAGGCUAAAUACUCCUGACUGACCGAUAGUGAACCAGUACCGUGAGGGAAAGGCGAAAAGAACCCCGGCGAGGGGAGUGAAAAAGAACCUGAAACCGUGUACGUACAAGCAGUGGGAGCACAGAGCAAUCUGUGUGACUGCGUACCUUUUGUAUAAUGGGUCAGCGACUUAUAUUCUGUAGCAAGGUUAACCGAAUAGGGGAGCCGAAGGGAAACCGAGUCUUAACUGGGCGUUAAGUUGCAGGGUAUAGACCCGAAACCCGGUGAUCUAGCCAUGGGCAGGUUGAAGGUUGGGUAACACUAACUGGAGGACCGAACCGACUAAUGUUGAAAAAUUAGCGGAUGACUUGUGGCUGGGGGUGAAAGGCCAAUCAAACCGGGAGAUAGCUGGUUCUCCCCGAAAGCUAUUUAGGUAGCGCCUCGUGAAUUCAUCUCCGGGGGUAGAGCACUGUUUCGGCAAGGGGGUCAUCCCGACUUACCAACCCGAUGCAAACUGCGAAUACCGGAGAAUGUUAUCACGGGAGACACACGGCGGGUGCUAACGUCCGUCGUGAAGAGGGAAACAACCCAGACCGCCAGCUAAGGUCCCAAAGUCAUGGUUAAGUGGGAAACGAUGUGGGAAGGCCCAGACAGCCAGGAUGUUGGCUUAGAAGCAGCCAUCAUUUAAAGAAAGCGUAAUAGCUCACUGGUCGAGUCGGCCUGCGCGGAAGAUGUAACGGGGCUAAACCAUGCACCGAAGCUGCGGCAGCGACGCUGAUGCGUUGUUGGGUAGGGGAGCGUUCUGUAAGCCUGUGAAGGUGUGCUGUGAGGCAUGCUGGAGGUAUCAGAAGUGCGAAUGCUGACAUAAGUAACGAUAAAGCGGGUGAAAAGCCCGCUCGCCGGAAGACCAAGGGUUCCUGUCCAACGUUAAUCGGGGCAGGGUGAGUCGACCCCUAAGGCGAGGCCGAAAGGCGUAGUCGAUGGGAAACAGGUUAAUAUUCCUGUACUUGGUGUUACUGCGAAGGGGGGACGGAGAAGGCUAUGUUGGCCGGGCGACGGUUGUCCCGGUUUAAGCGUGUAGGCUGGUUUUCCAGGCAAAUCCGGAAAAUCAAGGCUGAGGCGUGAUGACGAGGCACUACGGUGCUGAAGCAACAAAUGCCCUGCUUCCAGGAAAAGCCUCUAAGCAUCAGGUAACAUCAAAUCGUACCCCAAACCGACACAGGUGGUCAGGUAGAGAAUACCAAGGCGCUUGAGAGAACUCGGGUGAAGGAACUAGGCAAAAUGGUGCCGUAACUUCGGGAGAAGGCACGCUGAUAUGUAGGUGAAGUCCCUCGCGGAUGGAGCUGAAAUCAGUCGAAGAUACCAGCUGGCUGCAACUGUUUAUUAAAAACACAGCACUGUGCAAACACGAAAGUGGACGUAUACGGUGUGACGCCUGCCCGGUGCCGGAAGGUUAAUUGAUGGGGUCAGCGCAAGCGAAGCUCUUGAUCGAAGCCCCGGUAAACGGCGGCCGUAACUAUAACGGUCCUAAGGUAGCGAAAUUCCUUGUCGGGUAAGUUCCGACCUGCACGAAUGGCGUAAUGAUGGCCAGGCUGUCUCCACCCGAGACUCAGUGAAAUUGAACUCGCUGUGAAGAUGCAGUGUACCCGCGGCAAGACGGAAAGACCCCGUGAACCUUUACUAUAGCUUGACACUGAACAUUGAGCCUUGAUGUGUAGGAUAGGUGGGAGGCUUUGAAGUGUGGACGCCAGUCUGCAUGGAGCCGGCCUUGAAAUACCACCCUUUAAUGUUUGAUGUUCUAACGUUGACCCGUGAUCCGGGUUGCGGACAGUGUCUGGUGGGUAGUUUGACUGGGGCGGUCUCCUCCUAAAGAGUAACGGAGGAGCACGAAGGUUGGCUAAUCCUGGUCGGACAUCAGGAGGUUAGUGCAAUGGCAUAAGCCAGCUUGACUGCGAGCGUGACGGCGCGAGCAGGUGCGAAAGCAGGUCAUAGUGAUCCGGUGGUUCUGAAUGGAAGGGCCAUCGCUCAACGGAUAAAAGGUACUCCGGGGAUAACAGGCUGAUACCGCCCAAGAGUUCAUAUCGACGGCGGUGUUUGGCACCUCGAUGUCGGCUCAUCACAUCCUGGGGCUGAAGUAGGUCCCAAGGGUAUGGCUGUUCGCCAUUUAAAGUGGUACGCGAGCUGGGUUUAGAACGUCGUGAGACAGUUCGGUCCCUAUCUGCCGUGGGCGCUGGAGAACUGAGGGGGGCUGCUCCUAGUACGAGAGGACCGGAGUGGACGCAUCACUGGUGUUCGGGUUGUCAUGCCAAUGGCACUGCCCGGUAGCUAAAUGCGGAAGAGAUAAGUGCUGAAAGCAUCUAAGCACGAAACUUGCCCCGAGAUGAGUUCUCCCUGACUCCUUGAGAGUCCUGAAGGAACGUUGAAGACGACGACGUUGAUAGGCCGGGUGUGUAAGCGCAGCGAUGCGUUGAGCUAACCGGUACUAAUGAACCGUGAGGCUUAACCUUACAACGCCGAAGCUGUU